rnacentral:tRNA from 1 species
GGCCUGAUGGUUUAGUGGUAUAAUUCUCGCUUUGGGUGCGAGAGGCCCCGCGUUCGAUUCGCGGUCAGGCCC